CGCAUGCCACAACAGCUUACUUCACCCACGCCUCCCUCAUGCGUCGUUCAGGCGUCGUCGCUGAUUAAUUCGUUCGCCCAACUCGUUGAUGCUGCCGCAGAGGAGGAAGAAACAAUGCGCCGGGCCAUCCUCUUGUCUGAAGCUGAUCCGGCCGCACGAGUUGCGUACCUGGUUUCGUUCGAUGCGGGUUUGCAGGUGUCCAUUGCCAUUUCGCAGCGCCAAGAUCUUCGUCCAGGCAGAGAGGGGAAGGCUGCAGGUGAGCCACAGCAAACCACGUUGGCGAAAGCUCACUUCAAGUCCCCCCCCUUCGAACCAAAAUGUCAGCCGCCAGACUGAAAUCAUUGUCAUUUGCUCCGACGAAGAAGAUGAAGAAGACGACGACGAAGCCUUCGACUGGACAAGCGACGAAGAUAAUUUCCAGCUCUAGCAUAUUGUAUUCUGUGUGUUUAGGUUGGUCGUGAGCGU
rnacentral:lncRNA from 1 species